AUUGGCUGGUGUGUGCAGACGCGCUAUUCCAAUUGGUCCGCGUCAUGCCUUUUCUCUUUGGUUGUAUCAGAAUUUCUGUUCUCUGUCCCGCCAAUCAGAGGCCGACACGGACUCCCGUUGAUUACAAUUGGCCGGGGGGGAAGGCAAUGCGAUUUAUUAUAAAAGAAGGAAUAACAGAAAAGUGAAACAAGCCAGGCGAAGGUGUGGAUCUGCAUUGUAAUAAAAAGCAGAAACCCGCUGGAGCCGCAGCGCCCGUCAGCAGCGCUUUGAAUGCGCGUUCCUGGAUCCUGCGCGAUGGUACAGUCCGGCCAGCAGCAUUGCAGAGAGGGGGGGCGAGUUUCAUUAGAGAUCUCUGUGAAAACAUAAAACAGAGAGAAACAGCGGGGAGGUCAUAUUAUACACGGAGAAAGAAAACAGUUUUUUAUUUAGCAACAUUCAAACCGAGAGCGUGGGUUAAAAACGUAACGGUUCAUUUAAAACACAUUUCGGGUGCCGAGUUGGUUCGUCCCAUGCCGGAAGUGAGGUGUCCUUCCAGGCUCUGUGGCGUGAAAAUAAACAGGUUGGAGGCGGAAAGAGACAGAAACAAAACCAGUGAAACCAGUAUAGACUAACGGGACUGGUGCACCUGAACCAGUCAUCCAGGGACGACAAGGAGGUGAACUCACCGGGGAGAGGGGCUUGCAGAGGGCGAAAAAAUCGAUUUCCCCCCUGUGCGUUGCUGUGUCAUGGUUCGAGCCAUGGUGGUCACAGCCACGAGCCUGGCACUCACAACAGCCGUGGUCGCCCACGCCUACUACCUGAAGCACCAGUUCUACCCCACCGUGGUGUACCUCACCAAGUCCAGCCCCAGCAUGGCAGUGCUGUACAUCCAGGCCUUUGUGCUCAUCUUCCUGCUCGGGAAGUUCAUGCGCAAAGU